UACGGAGGGUGCAAGCAUUGAUCGGAAUUACUGGGCGUAAAGGGCGCGUAGGCGGCAGAGAAAGUCAGAUGUGAAAUACCGGGGCUCAACCCCGGGGCUGCAUUUGAAACUUCUCAGCUAGAGGAUGGUUAGGGAAAACGGAAUUCCACGUGUAGCGGUGAAAUGCGUAGAUAUGUGGAAGAACACCGGUGGUGAAGACGGUUUUCUGGGCCAAACCUGACGCUGAGGCGCGAAAGCUAGGGGAGCAAACAGG
rnacentral:rRNA from 1 species